GGUGUCUUGGCCGAGUGGUCUAAGGCGGUACGUUCAGGUCGUAUUCUUAGUUGGCGUGGGUUCAAAUCCCACAGACACCA